rnacentral:rRNA from 1 species
GGUUAAGCGACUAAGCGUACACGGUGGAUGCCCUGGCAGUCAGAGGCGAUGAAGGACGUGCUAAUCUGCGAUAAGCGUCGGUAAGGUGAUAUGAACCGUUAUAACCGGCGAUUUCCGAAUGGGGAAACCCAGUGUGAUUCGUCACACUAUCAUUAACUGAAUCCAUAGGUUAAUGAGGCGAACCGGGGGAACUGAAACAUCUAAGUACCCCGAGGAAAAGAAAUCAACCGAGAUUCCCCCAGUAGCGGCGAGCGAACGGGGAGCAGCCCAGAGCCUGAAUCAGUGUGUGUGUUAGUGGAAGCGUCUGGAAAGGCGCGCGAUACAGGGUGACAGCCCCGUACACAAAAAUGCACAUACUGUGAGCUCGAUGAGUAGGGCGGGACACGUGGUAUCCUGUCUGAAUAUGGGGGGACCAUCCUCCAAGGCUAAAUACUCCUGACUGACCGAUAGUGAACCAGUACCGUGAGGGAAAGGCGAAAAGAACCCCGGCGAGGGGAGUGAAAAAGAACCUGAAACCGUGUACGUACAAGCAGUGGGAGCACGCUUAGGCGUGUGACUGCGUACCUUUUGUAUAAUGGGUCAGCGACUUAUAUUCUGUAGCAAGGUUAACCGAAUAGGGGAGCCGAAGGGAAACCGAGUCUUAACUGGGCGUUAAGUUGCAGGGUAUAGACCCGAAACCCGGUGAUCUAGCCAUGGGCAGGUUGAAGGUUGGGUAACACUAACUGGAGGACCGAACCGACUAAUGUUGAAAAAUUAGCGGAUGACUUGUGGCUGGGGGUGAAAGGCCAAUCAAACCGGGAGAUAGCUGGUUCUCCCCGAAAGCUAUUUAGGUAGCGCCUCGUGAAUUCAUCUCCGGGGGUAGAGCACUGUUUCGGCAAGGGGGUCAUCCCGACUUACCAACCCGAUGCAAACUGCGAAUACCGGAGAAUGUUAUCACGGGAGACACACGGCGGGUGCUAACGUCCGUCGUGAAGAGGGAAACAACCCAGACCGCCAGCUAAGGUCCCAAAGUCAUGGUUAAGUGGGAAACGAUGUGGGAAGGCCCAGACAGCCAGGAUGUUGGCUUAGAAGCAGCCAUCAUUUAAAGAAAGCGUAAUAGCUCACUGGUCGAGUCGGCCUGCGCGGAAGAUGUAACGGGGCUAAACCAUGCACCGAAGCUGCGGCAGCGACACUAUGUGUUGUUGGGUAGGGGAGCGUUCUGUAAGCCUGUGAAGGUGUGCUGUGAGGCAUGCUGGAGGUAUCAGAAGUGCGAAUGCUGACAUAAGUAACGAUAAAGCGGGUGAAAAGCCCGCUCGCCGGAAGACCAAGGGUUCCUGUCCAACGUUAAUCGGGGCAGGGUGAGUCGACCCCUAAGGCGAGGCCGAAAGGCGUAGUCGAUGGGAAACAGGUUAAUAUUCCUGUACUUGGUGUUACUGCGAAGGGGGGACGGAGAAGGCUAUGUUGGCCGGGCGACGGUUGUCCCGGUUUAAGCGUGUAGGCUGGUUUUCCAGGCAAAUCCGGAAAAUCAAGGCUGAGGCGUGAUGACGAGGCACUACGGUGCUGAAGCAACAAAUGCCCUGCUUCCAGGAAAAGCCUCUAAGCAUCAGGUAACAUCAAAUCGUACCCCAAACCGACACAGGUGGUCAGGUAGAGAAUACCAAGGCGCUUGAGAGAACUCGGGUGAAGGAACUAGGCAAAAUGGUGCCGUAACUUCGGGAGAAGGCACGCUGAUAUGUAGGUGAAGUCCCUUGCGGAUGGAGCUGAAAUCAGUCGAAGAUACCAGCUGGCUGCAACUGUUUAUUAAAAACACAGCACUGUGCAAACACGAAAGUGGACGUAUACGGUGUGACGCCUGCCCGGUGCCGGAAGGUUAAUUGAUGGGGUCAGCGCAAGCGAAGCUCUUGAUCGAAGCCCCGGUAAACGGCGGCCGUAACUAUAACGGUCCUAAGGUAGCGAAAUUCCUUGUCGGGUAAGUUCCGACCUGCACGAAUGGCGUAAUGAUGGCCAGGCUGUCUCCACCCGAGACUCAGUGAAAUUGAACUCGCUGUGAAGAUGCAGUGUACCCGCGGCAAGACGGAAAGACCCCGUGAACCUUUACUAUAGCUUGACACUGAACAUUGAGCCUUGAUGUGUAGGAUAGGUGGGAGGCUUGGAAGUGUGGACGCCAGUCUGCAUGGAGCCGACCUUGAAAUACCACCCUUUAAUGUUUGAUGUUCUAACGUUGACCCGUAAUCCGGGUUGCGGACAGUGUCUGGUGGGUAGUUUGACUGGGGCGGUCUCCUCCUAAAGAGUAACGGAGGAGCACGAAGGUUGGCUAAUCCUGGUCGGACAUCAGGAGGUUAGUGCAAUGGCAUAAGCCAGCUUGACUGCGAGCGUGACGGCGCGAGCAGGUGCGAAAGCAGGUCAUAGUGAUCCGGUGGUUCUGAAUGGAAGGGCCAUCGCUCAACGGAUAAAAGGUACUCCGGGGAUAACAGGCUGAUACCGCCCAAGAGUUCAUAUCGACGGCGGUGUUUGGCACCUCGAUGUCGGCUCAUCACAUCCUGGGGCUGAAGUAGGUCCCAAGGGUAUGGCUGUUCGCCAUUUAAAGUGGUACGCGAGCUGGGUUUAGAACGUCGUGAGACAGUUCGGUCCCUAUCUGCCGUGGGCGCUGGAGAACUGAGGGGGGCUGCUCCUAGUACGAGAGGACCGGAGUGGACGCAUCACUGGUGUUCGGGUUGUCAUGCCAAUGGCACUGCCCGGUAGCUAAAUGCGGAAGAGAUAAGUGCUGAAAGCAUCUAAGCACGAAACUUGCCCCGAGAUGAGUUCUCCCUGAC